rnacentral:sRNA from 1 species
AACGAGAAAUGCCGCGAGUGUGAAGCUGUUGCGAGUAUGCGGGUCAAUCGUCGCAACAGCUUC